UCGAAGACCACCCUAACCUUGGUGGUUAUCUUAUCCUCUCUGACGACUGCAUGAUGUGGCAGGUCAACUCUUCAUCGCGAAAUGGCAAUUUCACGACGUACCUACCAUCUUCGUCUCUACGCGUCGUGGCAGAGAACAAAUCUUCACACCUUUGUUCUUCCUUUGUUAAAAUCUGUGUACUCAAUAAAGGCUCAUUUUCCAAUUCCCAAAA